rnacentral:rRNA from 1 species
UACAGAGGGUGCAAGCGUUGUUCGGAAUUACUGGGCGUAAAGGGCGCGUAGGCGGUCUGUUAAGUUGGAUGUGAAAACUCUGGGCUCAACCCAGAGCCUGCAUCCAAAACUGGCAGGCUAGAGUUCUGGAGGGGAAAGCGGAAUUCCUGGUGUAGCGGUGAAAUGCGUAGAUAUCAGGAGGAACACCGGUGGCGAAGGCGGCCUGCUGGGACAUGGCUGACGCUGAGGCGCGACAGCGUGGGGAGCAAACAGG